CUACGGGGCGCUGCAGUGAGGAAUUUUGCGCAAUGGGGGGAACCCUGACGCAGCAACGCCGCGUGAGUGAUGAAGGCUUUCGGGUCGUAAAGCUCUGUCAAGUGGGAAGAACCUGCUAGAUGCUAAUAUCAUUUAGCACUGACGGUACCACUAAAGGAAGCACCGGCUAGCUCCGUGCCAGCAGCCGCGGUAAUACGGGGGGUGCAAGCGUUAUUCGGAAUUAUUGGGCGUAAAGGGCGCGUAGGCGGUCUCUAAAGUCAGAUGUGAAAGCCCGGGGCUUAACCCCGGAAGUGCAUUUGAAACUUAGGGACUUGAGUAUGGGAGAGGGAAGUGGAAUUCCUGGUGUAGCGGUGAAAUGCGUAGAUAUCAGGAGGAACACCAGUGGCGAAGGCGACUUCCUGGACCAAUACUGACGCUGAGGCGCGAAGGCGUGGGGAGCAAACAGGAUUAGAUACCCGCGUAGUC
rnacentral:rRNA from 1 species